rnacentral:rRNA from 1 species
UACGAAGGGGGCUAGCGUUGCUCGGAAUCACUGGGCGUAAAGCGCACGUAGGCGGAUUGCUAAGUCAGGGGUGAAAUCCUGGAGCUCAACUCCAGAACUGCCCUUGAUACUGGCGAUCUUGAGUCCGGGAGAGGUGAGUGGAACUGCGAGUGUAGAGGUGAAAUUCGUAGAUAUUCGCAAGAACACCAGUGGCGAAGGCGGCUCACUGGCCCGGUACUGACGCUGAGGUGCGAAAGCGUGGGGAGCAAACAGGGAUUAGAA